rnacentral:rRNA from 1 species
AGAACGAACGCUGGCGGCAUGCCUAAUACAUGCAAGUCGAACGAACUCUUCGGAGUUAGUGGCGCACGGGUGCGUAACGCGUGGGAAUCUGCCCCUUGGUUCGGAAUAACAGUUGGAAACGACUGCUAAUACCGGAUGAUGACGAAAGUCCAAAGAUUUAUCGCCAAGGGAUGAGCCCGCGUAGGAUUAGCUAGUUGGUGAGGUAAAGGCUCACCAAGGCAACGAUCCUUAGCUGGUCUGAGAGGAUGAUCAGCCACACUGGGACUGAGACACGGCCCAGACCUCCGUACGGGAGGCAGCAGGUAGGGAAUA